UCGGGACAAAGGCUCAACAAUCACAAGGUUGAUCUUUUGCCGCUUGGUGUGACACCAGGCAAAGAGUACUCAGUUGAGAAAUGCCAGGGGAGCUGAUCCCUCUCACAUUCCUCCCCCCCUCGAGCGAACGUCCUCGGGCGCCCCCGGGCAUAUCCAGUAGGAUUUGGUUGUUUUGAGAUCCCGUAGGAUUGUGUAUUUGUUAUUGUGACAUUUCGUCAGUCCCCGUCCGAGAUGGAGGACUUUGUUUUUACUUUGAUCCGCUAGAUUUGGUUGGAUGCUGGUGGUGAGUUGCCGAACCCAACGAAUACAUUCUGAAGUCGGAUGGGGUGACGGAUUAGGGUGCCCCUCCAGCAGGGGAGAGCAGGGACUGCCCCGGGAAAGGGGGCCGCUGGCGAAGUUAACCACCCUGUAACAACAUACAU
rnacentral:lncRNA from 1 species